GGGAAGGAGCCGCAGGGAGCAAAGGCAGCUGCUCUGGAGGGGGUCGCAGCUGCCUGAGUUUUGGAAGAAGUGGCAUGUCCAGCUCCUGGAGCCCCUGGGAUUGGUGGCUGUUUGAAGAAGUCCCCGGCCCGUGGAGUGGGUGGCAGAGGGAGGCUCUCCAUUUGCAUGGUGCUGGCGAAAGCAGGACAUGACAGCAAACACAGUCCUUCAGGAUUAUGCUCAUGAUCAGGCAGAAGGCGACUUCUUUCAAAACACAAAAUUCUAUUCAGUGAUGAAAA